AAAGGCAACUGAGGCAUAGAACAACUAAGUGUUUUUCAUGAAGUGUUACGGCCGGUAGAUAGAAGGACCGGGAUAUGAACUCAACGUAAUCCUGCUGUGAGGGAGUUUGAACUACACUACAAAGACAGGAGGAUGCCUUGGAAAAGCAGUCUUCAGAGAGACAGCCAUCUUGGAUAUGCCCACCGGAGACAGCUCCUAGAGGAGGAGGGCAGAUGGAGAAAGGUCCAUCAUAGUGGGGAAACAGAAGGCAUAGUGACUGGAACAGGACGCCAAAACAUCUUGAAUCCCAAGCCUGAGGCAGAGAGAUCGACCAGGGAAUAGCACAUGGCUUUUAAAACCCCAGAGCCUGCCGAUAGUGACACACUUCCUCCAGCAAGACUGUGUCUCCUAAGCAUCCCCAAACAGCGCCACCAACUGGGCAGGAGUAUUCAAAAUCCUGAGCCCAUGGAGAACACUGUCCUUCAAACCACCACAACCCUUACAUCCCAAAUUGUGUCACGGUUGUAUCCCGUAUAGCUGCUGCUUAUACUC